UAAAAAAAAUGUGUAUUAGUGAAUUCGUACAUACAUAACAGGUCAAAUCUCAGUCUGUAUACCAAAGUGUGCGAGUCUUUGUGUAUUUGUAACAUGCUUGUGUCGUGUGAAUUGUCUUAUUGUGAUUAAAAUCUGACUGAGGGAAGUAUACAUAAUUAUCUUUUUUUAUAUAUUUUUUGUGACCGAGUUAUACAUCAUUGGAAAAUUGUUGUACUUGGAGACAUAUAAACUGGUGUAUAUUUUGAAGUAUACAAGGAGUGGAAUAUAACAUUAUAGCAUACAUAUGUAUAAAUAAUGUGUGUAAUGUUAAAAUACACACCUCACACUCUACAUACUUCAAUAUUCUGUGUGAUGCGAUAGUGGUACUUGUGUUGAUCAUCAAGAAUAAUAUUAGUAGUAAUGAUUGAAGUUAUUCUACAAAAAAAAAUGUAUUUACAAAUUCGAAAGAAACAGAUAAGAACAAUAAUAGUAAUAAUAGCAAUAAUUAUUCAUCACACACAUUAUUAACAAAAAUUGUCUAGCUAUAUACAGAAUUGCUGCAAAAAAAAAAAAAAAAAAAAAAGGAUAUAUAAAAAUGUUACAAGGACACAUUUAAACACUAAAAUCAAUACAAAAUACUAAAGAGACACAUUUCAGCUUCAAGUGUACAGCUACAGUCAUCUACAUUGCAUCAGGAACCUAAACUAACCUACACACAUACGUACACACAGACGAAAAACAAAAACAAGAUCAGUAAUAAUAUCAAUAAUAAUACAUAAAGUUAGUAUUGCUCAAAAUAAAUACAUAAUACAAAAAUUAAAACAGUUUGCCAAUAGGUAGAUCUGAGUCAUAAGGAAUAUAUAUUUUUUUUUGUAUUUUUAUUUGCUAAAGUCUAGUGAAAAUAAAAAUCUUCACCUAAAAUAGUAUAGAUUAUUACUUCUUAUGAAAUCUAGUUGUACAAUUUCAGUUUAUUUAUUUUAUUUAUCUUUUUAUUUCAGAAGGGGAAGGUGAAAGAUGAUGAAGAAAAAGAGAGAGGAAGAUGAACAAAGAGGGAAGAAGAGGUGAAGGAGAAUAAGAAUGUAAAGAAAAAUGAUGAAUAAGUGAGAAAAUGAAGACUGAAAGAAUGGGAAGAAAACAAAGCAGAUAAGAAUUAGUAAGAGAAACAAGAUAAAUAAGGUAAAGGAAGAUGAAUAACAAAAGAAAAAAAGAAAUGAGGUAGAGAAAAGAAUAAGAAAUGGAGAACAAAGAAGAAACAAGACGAAGAUGACAAGAUGGAUAAAAAAGAGGAAGAAAGAAAUAGUGAGGUAGAAAAAAAGAAAGAAAAGGAGAACAAAGAAGAAAUGAGAGAAAGAUAACAAGAUGGGAAAAAAAAAAAGAGGAAAGCAAACAAGAGGAAAAAGAGGAAGAAGGUCCUCUUACUGACACAUGGAGAGUCUUCUUGGUGAACGAGGCUGACUGGCUGAGGUGGGCAGGUGGCAGUGGCAACAAUGACGUCUACAAGGCAGUGUGUGUUGGCAAGGAGGCGAGGAAGAAGUGGACUGGCAUGGAAGACGAAAAGAAACAUUACUGAGGUGGAUGAAAAGCAAGACAAACAGGAAGAAAGUCGUGAAGGAAGCAAGAAGAGAUUGUGGGAAAAAAAAAAAAAAAUUGAGGCAUUGUCAGGAAAGAGGAAGAGGAUCAAGCAAGUGUUAUGAGGAGAGACAGAGAGAGAUGAAGCAUGAGAAACCACCACCACCCUGCCCAAAGAACCCCAAAAAACCACCACCAGCAGCUCACCACCACCAUCAGAUCACCACACCUCAAACACACGCACGCCUGUCUGUCUCCUUCACCAUAAGCAAGUAUCACGUCGUUACCUCCUGCUUUAUCUUGACUUCCCCAACACCUCCCC